rnacentral:rRNA from 1 species
UACAUGUGGGGCAAGCGUUGUUCGGAAUUACUGGGCAUAAAGGGUGCGUAGGUGGCGCUGUAAGUCGGGUGUGAAAUCCUGAGGCUUAACCUCGGAACUGCAUUCGAUACUGCGGUGCUUGAGGACUGGAGAGGAGACUGGAAUUCAUGGUGUAGCAGUGAAAUGCGUAGAGAUCAUGAGGAAGACCAGUGGCGAAGGCGGGUCUCUGGACAGUUCCUGACACUGAGGCACGAAGGCCAGGGGAGCAAACGGG